rnacentral:rRNA from 1 species
UACGAGGGGGGCUAGCGUUGCUCGGAAUCACUGGGCGUAAAGCGCACGUAGGCGGCCUACUAAGUCAGGGGUGAAAUCCUGGAGCUCAACUCCAGAACUGCCUUUGAUACUGGUUGGCUUGAGUCCGGGAGAGGUGAGUGGAACUGCGAGUGUAGAGGUGAAAUUCGUAGAUAUUCGCAAGAACACCAGUGGCGAAGGCGGCUCACUGGCCCGGUACUGACGCUGAGGUGCGAAAGCGUGGGGAGCAAACAGG